rnacentral:rRNA from 1 species
ACCAGCAGCCAUAUCACCCUGCAGCCCAAGACUGGUUGCCCACUGAAGCUAAGCAGGGUUGAGCAUGGUCAGUACCUGGAUGGGAGACCUCUUGGGAAAACUAGGUUGCUGCUGGAA